UUAUUUAUUACUACAUGGCCCUAAUAUUUCAAUAUAAAUUAAGGAAACAUGUCUUAUGGCAAUUCUUCGAACACUGUUCUCAAUGGUUAAGCCAAUAUUUUCCCAUUUUAAAUGUCGACGAUCAGCCCAUAAAAGUUGUUAUUGUUUUGAUUCUGUGUUUACAGUUGAUGUACCACCCUCCACCACCCAGCCAAUUACGAGAUAAAUUCCUCAUCUUCAUCCAGGUGUCCAGAGCUCUGUAGGCUUUCUACAGUGUAUCACAAAAACCCCUGUUUACAGACGUAGCGGAACCACUUUUGUUUCAACCCAGGCAUAAAAAGAAGAUGCCGUCUGGUCCUGGACCCCCUCGUGGACAUGGCACACAUAGUUUCCGCUGAGGGCCGGCGUGGCACGAGGAAAGAUGAGGCAGGAUCUCAUGCUCAUUGCUGACAGGACAUCUGUUAGGGGUUCCACAUCAGCAGCCUGGAAGAGACAUUUUAUUCGCGCUGUGGUUAAACAAUGGCACCCAGUGGGUUCAGUGAGUGUGGGGAAUAGUUCAGUGGUGUAAUAUUUUUAGGUCACAAUUGGUUAGAGGUAGCAAAAGUACUCAGACUCUGUAUCUGUACUUAGAGAGACAGACAACACCCAUCC